ACUCCCAUAAAUGCAAAACUCCUAAACUUUUAAUGGAUUCGAAAAAAAAAAAAAAAUCAUAAUUGAUUCAUUGUGAUAUACAGAACGAGAUAUUAUGUAGUAAAACAAAAAAGAAUUUUUUAUCUUACUUUCUCAUAGCACGUAACAUUAUUUUUUUACAAUCCCAAAUAAAAUCUUAGUCAAAUUUUAUAAUCCAAAGAUCGGCAAUUCAAAUCCUACAUACGUGUGAAUGAAAAUUAAGAGGUUCGAACCCCUGACUUAUCAGAUAGUACAUAGGAGAAGCCCCAUCAGAAGAAAAACUCCUAAAUUUUUAGAUGAACAGGAACAACUCCCAACAGCUAACAUGCUGUUCUUAAACUUAUUGAUUCGUACCACAGAGGAAGUCCCCACACAUAGGAACCCUCUCAGUACAAAUUCUUCUUUUGACUGUUCAGAAAAUAAUAAUUGCUUGGAUUAUUAGAUUCAUAUAUUUGGAUCUAAUGAAUAAUUUUGCCUGAUGAAAAUGGACUCCAACCCCCAAUUUUUAACCACUGGGGACCAACUUGAUCUCUGAAAUUCCAUAGGAGGGAGCCCCACCCUACUUUAUGGCAAAACAUGCAUGAGUGUAAUGUGGUCUCGCCCGAGGACAAAGCUGGGACACCCGACGCGCUAAAUUACUGUCGAGCAGAGCUGUUCGAAGAAAUAUAAGUCAUUUUUUUUUCCUUUAAAUUCGUGCAAAAUCACGCGGGAGCAGAUCACUUAUCCGCGUUAAAGUUAAACAAGCACUCAAUUUGAAAAGAAAUGUUUACUGAUCAGAUCCAAAAUUGCUCUGCUUUUUAUCUCUGUCGGCAGAGACAGAUUCAGGACUGCACUAUUAUACCACUGCAGAACAUUAAUGUCAUUGCAGUAAAGUCAAGUUGAAUCUAUCCCUACUAUUUCAGUGGCAACAUGGAUCCCUGCAUCAUCUCCUCCACCGUAUCUUUAAUUCUUGUCCCUUACACACAUCUUGCUUCUUUGACGAUGUAGAAGAGUAGUGUGACAGAUAACAGAUACUUCAGAAUGAUGUUCUUAAUUAAAAUCCGUUGAACUGUUAUAAAAUGUAAAAAGAUAAGAAUGAUUUUUUUUUUUUCUUUUUUAAGCAUCGUUUCAACAUCAAAUUAUUAUGCUUUUACUUGUUAUGUCUCAAACUCCUUUGACUAUACAUUACGGAAUUGCGACAAAUCUCUUAAAAUGUUAUUUUUAUAAACUGUUGAUCAUGUAUUGUCGUAUAUAAAAUACAAGAAUAAAAAUAAUUUUCAGCGUCCCGUGAACAUAAAUUAUUAUUAUUUUUACCUUCUAUGCCUCUACUCCUUCAAUAAUAUAUGACGGUACUGCAACAGAUAUUUCAAAAUAUUGUCUCUAGAAUUUAUUACUAUGUUACAAUACCUAAAAUAUAAAGAUAAUUCGUUAGCAUUGAUUUAACACAAAAUUAUUGUUAUUAUUAUUCGUUUGUUACAUCUCUAGUUCCUUUGACUAUAUAUAUAUAUAUAUAUAUAUAUAUAUAUAUAUAUAUAAAAGGGUCUCUGGGCAAGUCUUUUAAAAUAUUAUCUUUAUAAGCUGCUGAUAUAUUAUUAUAUAUAAAAUAGAAAGAUAAAAUAAUUUUUUAAUAUCAUUUAAACCAAAAUCAUAAAUUUUUUUUUUACCAGCAACACCUUUAGCUCCUUUGACAUACAUAAUUUUUUUUUAGAGUAGUUCUUAGGUAAAUGAAUGGGUAAAUUACAUUGUUACUCUCUGAACUUUUAGCGAAGUUUCACUUUACCCCUCAAACUCCUAAAAUAGACAUUUAACAUUCUAAACUCUAAUAUUUUAUUCAUGUUACCCCUUCCGUCAGUUUUCCGUCAAGCUCCGUUAACCGGAAACUGACGGAAGGGAUAAAAUGAAUGAAAUAUUAGAGUUUAUGGUGUUAGAUGUCUAUUUAAGGAGUUUAAGGGGUUAAGUAAAACUCGCCAAAAGUUGUAGGACUCUGGACUAUAAGUUAUUUUAUUAUAAUAUGUUACUUAUGGAUUGACUACUAACUCUCAAGUUAGUGAUGAUACUUGAUUUUGAAUUUAUAUAUAUUUUUUAUCCUAAAAUAAAUUAUACCAUAAUUUAUCCUAUAUUUUAUUGUAAUAAAAUAAAAGCGAAAGAAAUGAAUUAGAGUGGCUUAAAAAUAAAAAAAGAGCAAUACUAACUAUCUACAAUGCUCAAACACUUUACUGUCUUGGUGGACUCGCUUAUAUAGUUAAUUUACAAUAGGUGUCCUCACUAGGAUAUAGUGAUUUUAAUUUUCGGUUAAUUUAAAUAGGUGCAGCAUGAUAGUAGAAAAAUAGCUGUAUUUUUUUUGCGUACAAACCAAACAAGUACACUUAUCAAAAUAUUAUAAUGCGAGAUAAGUUUGUGAUUGACUCUGAUAUUAUCUCACUUAAAAAAUGUGACAUAAAUGUAUUCAACAACUAAAAAUCUGAUCACUCUUACUGAACCACCAUAGUUUUUAUGUUAAGUUACUUAUUACUGUUCUACAUACCAAAAAAAAAAAAAACGCAAAUUAAAAAAAUUAAAAAUUUUAAAAAGUUUUUUUUAAAAAAAUCUCAUGAAUUUUAGGGAUCUUGUACGGACCCAAAGCACUUUCAAUAGACCAAUCAGUCACAAGAAAAAUAGACGUUAAACAUUGGACCCCAUACAACCUUUAUGUCACAUCACUCACUCAACGUUCACUUAUUAAAUUAUAACAAACAAUAACAGUACACACGACGUAUUAAUUUCCCUACGUAUUUUCGUACUAAUUUUUCCCCAAACUUAAAACAAAAUACACAAAUAAAACGACACAAGUUUAAUUAAUUUUCUCAGCUAAAAACACUCUGGAGUCAGUGAAUGAUCCCUCUUUGGAUCCCUGCAGUAGUUGUAGACCAUGUAGUGCGCUUGGGCCCACCGCAUCGCGGCGAAUUGGCUGCCGGUGAGUCCGCCGCGGCCGCCCGCCCCCGGCGCAUGGCACCGCGGCGGCGAGGAGGGGGAGCAGGCGCGGACGGCGAACCGGGUGAACUGCGCCACGAACGGCUGGUACCGGUAGUCGGCCUUGGACCGGCCGUCGUCGGUGGCCCACGACGACGCGUCCCAGAUGGAGGCGUACAGCCACAUCGGACGGAGUGGGAACGUGCCCACGCUCUUCCUCGGGUAUCGCCGUAUCGGUAUGUCGUCGACAAAGAAUCUAUAGAUACAUAAAGUUUGGAAUAUGUUUUGUUCACUCCCGUUUACUGAUAGUAUAUAAAUCAUAUUAAAUUAAUAUAACUAUAUCAUUUAAGUGAAUAUAUCAUUAAUAACCAAGAUAAUAAAGGUGUACUAUUCUUUUUAGCACCAUUAAUGGCGCAAACCAAUCUAUUGCACGGCACCGUACCUUCUACAACUAUCAUUUGCUAAACAAAAAAUAGAACGAGAAAAAGUCAAUAAAUUAAUUUUGAAUCUCUUCCUACGAACUAACUAUGUAUGCAUAUGUUUGAAAAGUACCCCUUUAAGAAGAAUAAUAAGUACUAUUUUUUUAUUUUUUAUUUAUUUUUUUUUUUUUUGUGUUUUGGGGGGAUUUGUUACAAUUGUAAGGAAAUUGAUGUGUAAGUUGAUUUAGACUCACAUGAUCUCAUUCUGAUUCCAUAGUAUGGCGUAAUUGUGAAAAGCCGCGGUGGGAUCGAACCACAAGUGGAACUUCAUCUCCCUGCCGAUGAUCCGGCCGUCUCCGCUGCCCCUGACGUAGACAUUCGUCUGCAACGUAUACGGCCUCCCCGGGGUCGUCCCGAGAAACUCGAUGUCGACCUCGUCGUGGUACCCGGGAUGGACUUGAUUGUUCGAAAGCUGCAACGAUUUUUUUUUUUUUUUUUGCAUUCAAAAAAUAAAAAUUAUAAACCAGCUGCAUUUGAAACUUUUAAUAAGAUGUUAGUAAAUGCUGCUCAUGGUCAUGGAAUGCGGCUUCCUCACGUAGAAUGCUGUGAUCACUCCUGCAGUGUAGCCUGACUGAAGCUUGAUCGACGCGCCGAAGUAACCAUUUCGAAACGGGCGGUUCGACUUGAAUCCGCUACCUUUUCUCGCCCCAUAAUGCAAGAGAGUAUCAAAAGAGCGAAAAUACUAUAAGAUGCACUGAAUCUGAUUAAACUUAUUAUAUGACUAAUUAAUAAAGAGAAAAAAAAAAAAGACAAAAGAAAUUGGUGGACCUGAAUUUCUAUCGAGCCAUAUUGUGACUGAGGAUUGGUCUCUGGAAACUGAUUGAUGCUGAGGACCCCAAAGGUUAUUGAACACUUGGUAGAAGCCCCUGGAUCUGAACCUGUAGCUUGGGUAAUACCCAGGGGAGGGUUGAGCAUUGGUGUGAUGGAGAAUGCAGAGGAAAACAAAAUGGAGGAGGAGAGCCAUUUUUAAGGCCACAAUGUACUAGAAAGUGGAAAUAGUAUGUCUGUUUUGGUAUGGAGAGAGGUGGGAUAAAAAGGUAGGGCUUCAAGGGUUGUAUACUUGUAUAUAUAUAUAUAUUAAAGGUAGAUGGGGAAACAGGGGAAGUGAUAUUUAUGAGGUUUUAGCCUUUUAUGGAGGCAUUGAAGGAAAUGGGUAAAAUGGGGCCUUGGAUUUUGAGAGAGAGAGAGAGAGAGAGAGAGAGAGAGAGAGAGAGAGUUUGGUGAAAGGUGUAGUAAAGGGGAAGCACACUGCUACACUCCCAACUUGCCCAUCAUUUCCAAUUGUAACUUGUCUAGCUAUUUGCUGGUGCCCCUAAUGAGAAAAAAUUCUAGAAUGUAACGGGUAUAUUAGUGACGUGGCGUAAUAAAUCAAUCAAAUUAAUCAUUUUAAGAAUAUAUGUUCCAUUAUGAUUGUAAAAAAAUAUUUUUAUUGUACUUUUGUUUGAAAAGAAAGAAUGUGAUUGACUUGUUAUUGAUGACGUGGUGCAAGUGUGACAGUGUAGAAUUCCUCCCUAAUGAGAGGGAUGAUGAGAGAAGGUGAAAAUGUUGCUUAGACCGUGUUUUAUAGAACAAUAGAAAAAUGUAGUUUUUGGUGAGUGAAAAAGCUGUUUCAUAAUAAAAAUAUUAUAUUUGUUGAAAAAGAUCUUCUUUGUGCCGGUUUAGGAUAUGUCAUAUUCCAAUAAACUAUAUAUAUAUAUAUAUAUAUAUAUAUAUAUAUAUAUAUAUAUAUAUAUAUAGCAGUACUGCUGUGUUCUCGGAAGCACGGAGACCUUCGUGCUCCUGAGCCAUUUUCGAUGAUGGGAUUUUCGAAUCGACGAUCGGCUCCGUUAGACUUGAUCUAGCGCAUUUGAAGUUUCUAGAAAAUAAUUUUUGCUAUUUUUCGAUAUCAUUGACCUAGCAAUCGAAAAAAUUCAAAAUCAAUAAUUUUUAACGGCUGAAAAUAAAAAUCUUAUAAAAAAUGGUGAUAUAGUACUAAGCUUUUCGAUCAGAAAUAUUAAUCUUGUUGUAGAUAGUAUAAAAAAUUUUGUAUCAAAAUUUCAUCUGAUUUGAAUACUUUUACACCGUUAAACUUAAAAACGGCAGAUAUCAACCAUUAAAAAUUAUUGAUUUUGAAUCCUUUCGAUCACUAGGUAAAUGAUAUCAAAAAAUCGCAAAAAUUAUUUUCAUAGAAACUUCAAAAUAUCCUAGAUCAAGUCUAAUGGAACCCGAUCGUCGAUUCGAAAAUUCCAUCAUCGAAAACGCUUAGGAGUACGAACGCCUCCAUGCUCCUGAAGCACAACAGUCCUUGCUCUAAUAAUAAUAUAAUAUAUAUAUAUAUAUAUAUAUAUAUAUAUAUAGCAUAGAUUUCUAUCUGAAAUGAUUAAACUUUUCCGAAUCUGAUUUUAUCAGUCUGACACGUCAGAUGCACCAUAUAUUAUAUCCAGGGUAAAAUAUACCUCUACUUAGUGAGAUUCAAAGGUGACGUGGUGGACCAGGUCUAGGCAUUUUUUUUUUCGAAAAAAAAAAGGGUGGGAGGAACCAUUAUUGGGUGAAUAGGCCUAAGGCUCACCCCCAUUUGGCUGUUAGCUUGUGGUGGAGUCUUCUUUCUGAUUUCUGAAUUCAAGGAUCUAUGCCCAAUCAUUGCUUGGCCUUGUUAGAUUGCCUUCCUCCCAUACAUGUAUCUUGCUUAUUUACCCUUCACCAUCUAUGAAAAAAAAAAAAAAUUACAUGUCUAGUGAACCGUUCAUUACUGUUUUAAAGUUAACGCAGUGUAUGCGUCCAUACGAUAAACAGUCGAUUAGAUUACUGAUAUAUGUUCUUCUAUUUUAGCGAUUGUUUUUAAGGCUUUGUUUGGUCUUACUACUUUCGACAGCAAAAACCUUAGGAGAAAAAUGGGCAUCGUGCAGUAGGAAACAGAAAUAAGAUGUUGAGCUCAAAGAAUAGAUGUUUCAAUUUAGUGCUUAUGGUUUCGCCAGUAGAGGUUAAAACAGGGGAUGUGUCUCCCUAAACGAGUUUAGUUCACAUAAUCACGUUUUGCGACAGUUGGCUCCUUUGUUUGCAUUGCUUUGGAGCUCUUAACGUUGUGAGUGGAGAGGACAAUUCCUUUAAUUGUGUGUAUUUAAAUACUAAUUAGGCAACCAAAUCGAGGAGGUUAAUUGGGACUUUAGUGCUCAGAGCCCAUGAGCAUGUGAACAAAUACUAAACAGCUCCAACAUUCCCUUUUAUCUUGUUGUGCAAAAAGGAUGAUGCCUUUUAGGGUUCGCAAGACCCAAUCCAAACCAAUUCGAGCAAGUUUUUCUUUCAAAUCGAUCUUUUGGUCAACCUGAUAUUAGAGCCAGCUCUAAAUCCUUCAGUUCCACGGAACCGACUACUCACGCCAUCUAGCAUGUUUGGGUUAAUUUUCUCAUUAAUGUCUGUAUCGAAUCGUCAUUUUUUACCUCAUCUACCAAUUUACGUAUUUCGUAAGCAAAUUCUGUGUCAAAUCAAUCUUUUAGAUUACAUAUUUUGUAAGCAAAUUCUGUGUCAAAUCAAUCUUUUAGAUAACAAAGUCCAUCUUGAUUUUGCAUGUGGGGGAUAAGAUCAAAAUCCAAGUUGAUCGGUAGAUCAAGUUGGGUUGGAUUAACCUGGACUGGCAACUAAUGCUCAUUUAUUUAUAAACAGGAGUUGGAUUAAUAUGGUCAUAAUGAUCAACCAACCCAAUCACCAUUCAGUAGCCAUAAUAAUGAUUAAUCAAUUACAGAGGGAUUAAUAAUACGUGUUUUCAAUUUACCAUUAGCUCCAAUAGCUCUACAUCGGAUGAAAAAAUAAUUAUAAUUAGAAUAUAUGAGACCUACACGCUAAUAAUAAUAAUUGGGCAUUUGGAACCGAUGGUGUGGUUCCAACAAAUUAUUGUUGCUAGCGGGCCGGGUCAUUACAAUUGAUAUUAAAGCAGAAUAUUAGUUGAAAGUGUGAGAGCUAAGUGUUAUACGGGACAAAGUGCUACACCAACGGGUUUGGUGGGAGUCACUUCUUGAACCCGUAGGAGCCACACCUAAAAUCUCAUAUCAUCUGAUAACUCUGGUCUGUAUGUCUGUGAUUUGGGUUCGGAUAAUAACUGGAUUUAAGCAUUUUGGGUCGAUUGUUUGAGUCCAACGAGUUAUUAUUGCUAGCAGGUCAGGUUGUUACAAUUAGUAUUAGAGCUGAAUACCACCCGAAAGUGUGAGAGCUAAGUGCUAUAUAGGACAAAAUGCUACGCCAAUGGAUUUGGUGGGAGCCACCUCUUGAACUCGUAGGAAUCUCUAAAAUCUUUUAUCGUCUGAUAAUUUUAAUCUGUAUAUCUGUGAUUUGGUUUGGACCCAACGAGAACGUAACCCUAUAUAUAAAGUACAGUAGGACUAGGGGUGGAAACGAGCCGAGCUCGAGCGAGCUUAUCUCGGCUCAAAUUCGGCUUGAAAUUAAUUUCGAGCCUAAAUUUAAGCUCAAGCUUGGAUUGAAAUUAAUUCGAGCCGAGCUCGAGCGAGCCUAGUUUCGAGUCGAGCGAGCUCGAGCCCUAAACGAGCCGCUUGAAAUUCUCAACAUUAUACGAUCAAUAGUUUAAUUUGUAUAGAAUAUUAUCUAUAAUUUGAUACAAAAAUAUGUCAAAUAGUUCAAAGUACAAAAGAAGUAUAUGAAAUAUAGUAUUAUAAUAUGAAAAAAAAAAAAUUUGAGUUGAAUAUCUAUUCUUUUCCGUCUCACAUAUCUUUUCUUUCGCCUUCAAUCUCCAUAUUAUUCAUUUUCAUUUAUACAAUCAAAAAUAAAUAAAUUAUAUAGAUAAAUAUUGGAUUAAACUAUCCAAUCAUAUAUAACUAAAAUUAAAAUUUUAUAUGACUGUAAAUAUUUUGUAUAUUCUCAAUUACAUACAAUUAAGUCAGCUAAGUAGGCAUGGCGGGUUAUAUGCUGUUACUUGGUAACUUGGAGGGCUUCCGGCUGGCCACUUAGGUGAGACAGAGAAAAGAGAAAGAUAGAAACGUAUUAAAUUUAGAGCUCUGUGAAAGAAAAAAAGAAAGGAAAAAUGUAUAAAUUUAGUGAAAUUUUGAUCUUUUAUUUGUCUAUUGAGUUUGUUUUUAUGGGUCAACAAUAUUGGCCCAAUUUUAACUAAACUCCGAUUAUUCACUCAGCCUAUAUAUAAUUAAAAUAUAAUAUAUUUACAUAUUUUUUAAUAUAUAUAUAUAUAUAUAUAUAUAUAUAUUCGAGCUUUUCGAACUUUUCGAGCCUAAAUCGAACGAGCCGAGUAAUACUCAAGCUCGGCUUGAAAUGAAUUUCGAGCCCUUUUUUUUGUUCAAGCUCGGCUCAUUUAAUUUCGAGUCGAGCUCGAGCGAGCCAAAUAUCGAGUCGAACGCGAGUCGAACGCGAGCCGGCUCGCUCAUUUGCCAGCCCUAAGUAGGACUAGACAUUUUAAUCCAGCUAUACAUUUUAGAUUGUGGCUAAACUCAAGAGAUUAAAAAGGUUAAACAUUCUAGAAUUAGAAUAAUUUAAGGAUAGAUGACUUCUCUCACGCAAAAGGGGCACAACAUAAUAAGCCAAAGGUAGUAAAACGGAUUCAGGGCAAAAAGACAUCACUAUUUAUGUGAUCUAAAACAGAUCAGGCACGAAGAAAAGAAAAAAAAUAAUCCAAUCUGAAUCUACCCAGCGAAAUCUCAUCUAAAUCUGCUCUGUGUAGCAUCAAAUCAGAAUUGGAAUUUUGUGAAUCGCUUGUUGGUAUGGUGAGAACCGGGGGCCGGUCUCUCGUCCCAAUCCCAAAUCUGCUCCGUUCGCAUACCUAACCUAAUUUUUAUACCUAUCAAGCAUAGGGCUUAGAUUUGGGACCAAAAUGGCCACCCUCUUAAACUUAGUACAACAAUUAUUACAUCUAGCCAAGUCUUAUUUCCUACUAGAGAUAGGGCUGAGAUAUGGACCCAAAAAAUGGCCAUCCUUUUAGAUCUAAUAGUAUAAAUCUUAAAGCACUACUUCACUGGUUUAGUUGUGAGCUGCAAGUGUAGGUUCAGUUGAGAGUUCGGUUCAGGUACAGGUCACACUCGAUUUCGAAGGCUUAAUAAAUAUCUAAUUUGUUAAUUUAUAAAUUUUCAUUCAAUAGAAACCGACGCACAAAUUACCAUUCAAGUGAAAUCGACGGCUCAGGUCGGUACUUUAAACUUGAAUUUAUUGAAGUGCCCUAGAACUUCAACAACAAGAAGCAAAAAUGACCGACUGUCUCUAGAACAAGUGGCAAAGGGCUUGAUGGUUGGUACUCGAAAUUCCAAGUUCGAAUCCUAGUUAAUUCACAUUUCCAGCUAAGUUUAUUUCUAAAUUAAAUAAACGAAGCGAAUAGCGUAUUACCUAUCUCUUAAAAAAAAAAAAAAAAAAGGCAAAAAUGAGUUUCCGAGCUUAAAAAACAGAAGCAACAAUUUGAUAUUUCUAAAAUUUUACUUUACACAAAAGCCAUUUGAAUAUUUGAAAAACUAAUAUUUUAAUAGCAUUAUUUCGGCAGCACUUUAUUAAAUAAUGCUACACUAUAAUGUAAAUAUAAGCUCUUACAACAAAACCAACUAGUUAAUUAGUAUAUACUAACAAUGUACCCGCGCUUUGCAGCGGGUGUAAUUUUUAAGUUCACAAUUACUAUAUUAAACAUUAUAUAAAGUCAUUUAAUAGAGUUAAAUAAAAAUGUUAAUAUAUAUAUAUAUAUAUAUAUAUAUAUAAAUNNNNNNNNNNNNNNNNNNNNNNNNNNNNNNNNNNNNNNNNNNNNNNNNNNNNNNNNNNNNNNNNNNNNNNNNNNNNNNNNNNNNNNNNNNNNNNNNNNNNNNNNNNNNNNNNNNNNNNNNNNNNNNNNNNNNNNNNNNNNNNNNNNNNNNNNNNNNNNNNNNNNNNNNNNNNNNNNNNNNNNNNNNNNNNNNNNNNNNNNNNNNNNNNNNNNNNNNNNNNNNNNNNNNNNNNNNNNNNNNNNNNNNNNNNNNNNNNNNNNNNNNNNNNNNNNNNNNNNNNNNNNNNNNNNNNNNNNNNNNNNNNNNNNNNNNNNNNNNNNNNNNNNNNNNNNNNNNNNNNNNNNNNNNNNNNNNNNNNNNNNNNNNNNNNNNNNNNNNNNNNNNNNNNNNNNNNNNNNNNNNNNNNNNNNNNNNNNNNNNNNNNNNNNNNNNNNNNNNNNNNNNNNNNNNNNNNNNNNNNNNNNNNNNNNNNNNNNNNNNNNNNNNNNNNNNNNNNNNNNNNNNNNNNNNNNNNNNNNNNNNNNNNNNNNNNNNNNNNNNNNNNNNNNNNNNNNNNNNNNNNNNNNNNNNNNNNNNNNNNNNNNNNNNNNNNNNNNNNNNNNNNNNNNNNNNNNNNNNNNNNNNNNNNNNNNNNNNNNNNNNNNNNNNNNNNNNNNNNNNNNNNNNNNNNNNNNNNNNNNNNNNNNNNNNNNNNNNNNNNNNNNNNNNNNNNNNNNNNNNNNNNNNNNNNNNNNNNNNNNNNNNNNNNNNNNNNNNNNNNNNNNNNNNNNNNNNNNNNNNNNNNNNNNNNNNNAUACCAGCACAACUCUCUCUCUCUCUCUCUCUCUCUCUCUCUCUAUAUAUAUAUAUAUAUAUAUAUAUAUAUAUAUAUAUAUAUAAUUGAGGAAUUGAGCUAGAAUAUUUUUAGAAGCACCAAGGACUUGGUGCUUCUAGGUUUCUAAUCCUUGAAUCUACUCCUUGAUUACUAAUAGUCUUUGGAUUAAACACUAUUCCACCUACCAUCACUUACCACCACCUGCCACCAUCAUCUUAACCCUACAUGUUUUCAUCCAAUGGCUAAAAACUCAAAAGCACCACUCUCUUAGAGUUGUGCUUUUGAAAGUAUUCUAACUCAACUCUAUAUACAUAUAUAGGUGGGGAGAGAGAUGGGAGAGGCUUUGGGGGAUACGUGUGACUCUGAGAUCCUCCAAACUCUCCUUAAAUGUAGAAAGAAGAAUAGAAUAGAAUAGAAAAGAUGUAUCUAAUAUCACCCCAUAAACCAUAUAUAUAUUCACAAAUCAAUAGUCUAUGGUGCACCAGGUGCACCAAAAGUAGCCCGAGUAUACGUGCGGGAUAGUAGAAUAAGUCGAUGGACAUUAGUGUAUAGUAAUAAAUAAAUAAUAAUAAAUUUGGGUGAUCCUUUUUAACUAGGGGUCUCAAUGUAACGCGUCUUCUGAAUUUUCAACCAAUCAAGCUACGCCACGUGUACACAAGCUUCACCGACACAUUUGGCUUUGUACCACAUCGGCUGUUAAAGGAAACGUGUGGAGCCACUAGGCCCUGUAAAAAGGGGGACCCGUGGGCCCCACGAAGCCAUUUUCUGCGGACCGGGUGUAUGGGCCAUCAGGAAGGCUCGUGGCCUAGAUCAACGGCCCAGAUCGUACGGGGUGGGUUCGUUGGCCCACCAUCUCCCCACGUGGAGAGUAGACCUUCUAGUUAUCUCCACCGUCCAUCUCACGAACUAACACAAAUUUUUAAAGCAAACACAAAUUUUAAAGCAAAUGGACGGGAGGACGUGUUCACUUACGCAGCCUCACGCCAAAUUUUGAAAUAAAAAAAACUUCUUUAAAUUUACAUAUAUAUAUAUAUAUAUAUAUAUAUAUAUAUAUAUAUAUAUGGCUGUAUUAUAUUACAGAAAACUCCCUAUCAAAACUCAAUUUUUAACUUUUCUUCCUUGUUAUUUAAAAACCUACACUUUGUCCCUUGUAAAAUAAAAAAUAUUCACUUCACCUCUUACUAUUAAUGAUCCGUUAGUGUUCCGUUUAUAAAAUAUUAUUAUAUAUUUUUUAUGCCAAAAAUAUCCUCAGCCUUCUUUUCUGUUGUCAAAAAAUGAUGAGGAGCAAAAUAGUCAUUUUGUCAUCACAGUUUACACCAUACCUCCUAUGACUAUUUUUUACGGUGUACCUCUUGUGACUAUUUUUUAUUUUAUAAGGAGAUAAAGUAUAGAUUUUUAAAUGACUGGAAAAAAAAAAUCGAAUUUUGAUAGAAAAGUUUUCUAUAAUUUAGCCUAUAAAUAUUUUAGAGUAGUUUUUUAAUUAGUUUUUUAUUCCUUAUAUAUUUUUUAUAGUUAAGUCUCAUACGAAAAGUUAAAACUCUUUGUUAGUAUGUCAAUUUAAACUCUCAACGAAUUUUAGCCCAAACUUCUUCCCGACAUCGACUUUUUCAAAUUUCUUACAAAAUACCGAAGCCGAAAGGUCGAUCUUUGUACGAUUCACGAUUUUAGUGUCGAAACAAACACUGUCGAACUCAUUCAAUAUAUCGUCAAUGAAAACAUCCAAAUUAAGGGGCCAUAAUAAAUACAUGUAGCUAUCAAACUAGUUGGCAUUGAUUGACCACAUUAAGAAGGGCCACCACCACUUUUGCUUAUAUGGUUGUGUAGAGGAUAUUGUUAGGUAUUAGAGUGGCUCCAAAUAGAUCAUGCACAAAAGAUCGAAAUUCUGCAAGAAUCUGAUAAUAGGGUUUACCUUAAUGAUUGAUUGCUAAUAGCCAAUUUGACACUGUUUACGGAUCUUAAAGCAUUCUUCUCCAGAUCACUAAUGAAGCUCAUUUUAUGCCAUUACCAUUCACUAGAUCUAAUGUACUCAAAAAGGGUCAACUGGCCUUGAAAUUAAUUAAUCUGGAAUUAAGAAAAAACUAGCAAAACAAUCAUAGAGCUUUACAAGACUCUAUUUAGAAAGAAAGUAAAUUCAUAAAAGAAUUGAAUGGCACUCACAAGUUACAGCCACUUUUUGACAAUAGCAAAACAACUUUUCUUCAAGAUCAGCUAUGUGAAGAAAACCAACAUACAGGGGUGGGGUGAAAAAGAAAAAGAAAAAAGAAGAAAGUAAAAGAGUGGCUCCUCACAGUGAUUCUGAGCUAUCAUAGCUUUCGUCGCAACUGGAUUUGAUUAUAACCCGAGCACCAGAAGCAAGCCUGCAAUAGUAAGAUUAAGCAAUCUCAAUCAAAACAUAUACGGGAAAGUAAAACAAAAACCGCGGUUACCAAAACAUCUAUGGGUAUGACACUCAACUUUCUUCGAUCUUGAUCACCUUUUCCUUCUCCUCCUUGAAGGACUCUAACCUCCUCGACGAACCUUUCGCAGAGGAAGAAUCGGUUAUUCUUUUACUUCCGCCCUUCGAUGAACAGAGAGGGGAGGAUUGGCCACUGCACUCUGGCACGGCCGAGGAGUUUCCCGCGUCGGAGAUAGGUGAACGAAUCGUUUCGUUUCUUGCUGAUCGGCAUGAUGCCAUUUUCAUUGCUCGAGGGAGACACUUGACACUUGACGAGUCCGCUAGGUUUUCUUUGUUUCCUUUAGAGUCAGGUAUUUUGGAGGUUCUGCAUUAUGUUUAACAUAUUUAUUGCAGUUAAGACAUAUGUGGAUUGAUCAAAUCAAAAACUCUGGGGAUUGUACGAGUCUAUACAUCAAGAGAAAUUGUCGAAGGGGACUAUAUAUACAGUAAUUACCGGUCUGAAAAGGGUUUAUAGCUCUCGCCACGCAACACGUGUAUAUGGCAUAUCCAGGGUGGCAUCAUAUAAAGAUAGUGUUUGAUAUUGAAAUAUGAGGAUGGUACUCACGGUCGACACUUUCAACAAAAGCCUCAUUCACUGGUCUCCUUACUAGUAUUUUGUCUAUGCAUAUUUUACAACUGAUAUGAGAUCUAAAGCAGGUAGCUAGAGAUCACUAAUUGGACGAGAAUCGCAGAUAUAUGCAGCUUUACUCGUGAAUAAAAAUGUUAAUCUUAUCAGUUACCUAGAGCUUAGAAAAGUAGUACUAGAAAGUAAUAGCUUAAGAGAAAGAGAUAAAAAUGAUGAAAUCUACAACUAGUAUGGAGGGUGCAACAUACUCAAGUACCAUGUGUUUGGUUAAAAUUUAUGUAAUCAAAGGAGAGCCAACUAAAGGAGAGGCUCUUAAGUUGUAGCAUAAAUACAGAAAUUUAGAAUUACCUGUCCUCGUCAAAGGACGAAGAUCGCUUUAGAAUAGGCACCCCGGCCUCUCCCUCCUUGUGCCUCUUAGUCUCAAGCAAGCUCCCGCUAAAAUAUUCUGCCCCUUCAAGCCUCAUUCCCAUCAUCCUUGGCUUCUCCGAGAAGCCAUCCAUAUCUCCCACCAUCAUCGAAGUAGAAAAAAAUGGAGAGGGGAAGUUCAUAUGAGUGAACCUCGGCCUAUAAGUCGGAACAAGCCCAAAACUUCGGUGAUCCUUAACAGAUAUCGACCCACAUGUAAUCAAAUGCAUGAGCAAAUUCGUUGCCCUUAGCCUUGACGCGACAGGGACAUAAACCUCCUCCUCUUCUAAUAUCCUAAAACUAUUCCUCUUGCUUGCUUCAGCUCUUAUUAGAGAUUCCAAAGUAUCUAUUCUCCCACCCGAAGAAACACUAGAUGACGUUAGCGGCGGCGAUGAUUCAAUGAUCAUCUCUGGCUGUUCGUUCGAUCUUGGGGUACGUUUAGGGUCCCUUUCUUGGAAAUCCAACGGCCCAUCAUCUGUGGAAACUCCGGUGGUGCGAGUUUCCGCUUGAACAGGGUUCUUCCCUUUUCGAUCGUCUGUUUGAGUGGAGGCAUCUUGAGCACCGACUGGCUUGUAGAUUCUGUACUCUGUCGGACUGAGGGAGCUUGUUCUUGAUGAGGGGGCAGUUCUUCCUUUGGGUUCGGGAGAGAAGUUUCCAGAAGAACCGGAGCGAGGAGUGUGGCAUGGCUCAUCUUCUCGAAGAGUGGAAGGAGGUGGUGAUGGUGGAGUAGGAGGCGGCGGUGGCAAUGGUGAUGGUGGGGGAAGUUUUGUUCCCUCAACUAAAAUUGUGGGGGAGGAAGAAGAAGAGCAAACUUCUUGGUUUCUACAUGAAGUUGGGGAUUCCUGUUGCGGUUGUUUUGAAUUCUCGAUCUUGGUGUUGCUUGCGCCAUGGUGUUGUCGAUCUACAAAAGAAAAUGGAAAGGAAAUUUUAAGGCUAUUCAUAUGCCAUUUGUCCUAAACCCUCACCGUUCUGCGAGGACGCGGGUGCAAUGCCUACGCUCAAAAGUUUGAUACCCUCAUCACAUUUCAAUAGGUCACAUCCCCAUCUCUUCGACUCUUAGUUCAUGUAUAUCGUGCACAUAGAAUUGGGGUGGAAUUGGGGUGUUAAGUCUAUUUCUAAGCAGUUUCCUAUAAAAGCGAUAGUUUAGGUACCGCCGGGAAAGAGAGAGAUCUAAGUAGAGAAAUAUUAAAGUGUUCUUCUCGGUUUCCUCUUCAAAAUGAGGAAUUAGUAGACAUGACAAAAUCGAGGCAAUUCGUCGAGUACCUGGCGGGGAUCGAUCCAACAAUUCGGAACCUUUGAGAAUGUACUCAUUGCCCUGCGCGGGGUGAACCAAAUCGUCCUCCGACAAAUCGUGCCACACAAAUCCAUUCUUAUAGCUCCUGCACAAUUGAUCCCAUGAACCAAAUUCACCACCAGUUAAUGCACAAAAUUAGGGUUUUAACCAUGAUCUUCCUCCCAAUUACCUCUUACAAGACCACGAGUACAUCGCCGCCAUGCCCUUCCCUCUCAGCGCAUUGAGCCGAAUAAUCACAUCUGCAACCAAAACAACACAGAACCCAAAUCAAAAGCCCAAAGCAAAACAAAUCAAAGUCCCCACCUUUACACUACAAACCAACUACCUCUCAAGUAUAGGGCCUCGGAGGAGGAGGACAAUGGGACCUCCAUGAAGUGCGGGUGCUCGAGAUGGCGAUUGCGGCAGAGGUAAUACACAACAGGGACCUUCUUCGGCUGCGGCGACUGCGAAUGCUGCUUCGGCAUCGCCAUCGCCAUCGGCGGCGGCGGCUGCGGCUCCACCCAAACCCUAGUCCGUUCGGGGCUCGAUCGCGCCCCGUAUCUCCUCAUCCUCCCCUCCAUCCUCCCACCACCUUCGGCUACCAAAAAACUAGGGCUUUGAAGAUAAAAGGAGGCGCCUUUCCUCUACAUAUCAACUUCCUACGAGAUCUAGGCAAUAAUUCGAGCAAAUGCCGUGCAAUUAAAGCAGAAAAAUUGGGGGAAAAGAUGCGGCGGAGGAGGAAGAAGAGGACGCACUCAACCAACUUGAUGGGCGAGGGGAAUUAAUGGGUGGUGGUACGAUUGCUACUGGAUUUCGCUUGUGUUUAUGGUGGGGGAAUGGGUUCGGGAGAAGGGAUUAAAAAAAAAGAGAGCUUGGGGUGCGAAAUGUGCAUAGGAGGGGAGUGUGCGUACGUACGUGAGAUUAAAGAAGGGAUUUUUAUGGUGGUCGAGAGGAGAAGUGUGCAGAGAGAUGAGAGAGAGACGAGGAGGAGAGUUGGGGGAAGGGAACAAAAAGGGGGAGAGAGAGAGAGAGGGAGAAGUGUGAGAAAGUGAUUGAAGCGUUGCUCUCAUGUUCUCUUCCCCAUGUGGCCAUGUGUCUCUCUUUUAAGGAGGUCAAGUACAAGCUCUCCCAUGGGAGGGAGAUCCCAAAGGGCACACCUAUUUGUCCCCCUACUUAAAAAAAAAAAAAAACUUCAAAUAUAUUUUUUCUCAUUUUAGUAUCCUGUGAUUUAAAUUUUAUCAAGUUAGUACCGCAUGAUUUUGCACUUUUUUAUUUUAGUACCCUGUGAUUUAAAGUGUAUCAAGUUAGUACCAUGUGGUUUCGUACUUUAUCACUUUAGUAUCCUGUAGUUUAAAAAUCACAUGGUACUAACUUGAUACACUUUAAACCACAGGGUACUAAAGUGAGAAAGUGCGAAACCACAGAGUACUAAUUUGAUACACUUUAAACCGUAAGGGUACUAAAAUAAAAAAGUACGAAACCACAGAAAGGAUUUUUUGAAAUUUUUCCUUAAAAAAAAUAGUUAAUUUACCAACUGUUUGUACCCAACUCAGUUGACUGAGAACUCUCAUAAUAAUUAAUAUUAAAAUUUGACUAAAUUACAAAAAAAAAAUUUGUAAAUAUUUAUUUUUUAUUUUUUUAGAUUUUUUAAAAAAUUAUAUUUUACUUUCUUAAAAUUUUAAGUUGUUACAUUUAGGCCUCCUCCAUUAGAGUUUCAUCACUAUUCCGUUUAUUUUUUAUAUUUUAUAUCGAAAAUAUAUCUUUCAAAAUGACAGAAAUAUAUUAAAAUUUUAUUAUUUUUUCUUAUAGGAGAAGUCAGAGUAAUUUGGUCAUUUUGCCCUAUCCAUUAAUACCGUAGUCCUUGAAAAUAAAUUUCUGAAAUUUUAAUAGGCAAAAUAUAAAUUUUUGAAAGUUAGAAAGAAAAAGUGAAAAAAGGAAUAUUCAUAGGAGGGUUUUCUGUAAUUUAACCUUAAAAUUUUUAAAUUUAAAAUUUAAUUAUUUUAUAUUUUUAUUUGACUUUAUUUUUUAAAAAUAAACGAACGGAUUGUUUACCCUUUUUUCUGUCAAAAAUAACAAAAUUUCAAUUUGUCUAGUUAUAUUGUAGGAUAUAAGAAAAUUAAUUUUAAUUUUUUUUUUAAUUGCUUCUGAGUUCAGCAUAAUCCCAUGUACCAAAUUAAAACAUUUACUUUUAGAACUAGAUUAACCUUUAACUUCUUAUUAUAACUACAACUAUAAAUUUAUUAAUAUUCUUAUGCAAAAUUGUAAAUGAAUAUAGUAGUAUAAGUAGGACCAAAUAAAUUUCUUAAAAUUUUUAUAAGUUACUGUUAUGGCCGAGAUUUGGCAGCUAGAAUAUAUCAAACGAAUUUGAAAAAUUAAUAGUGGCAUUAUUUUUCAAGAAUAAAUAUAAAAAUAUAUUUUACUACCGUUUGGUUCGGGGUUAAGUAAAAACUUGUUAUUUCAGGAAUACAGUUAAGUUCAGGGUUAAGAUAGGAUUAGAGUAAUUUUAUGUUUGGUUGAGAAUUGAGUUUAGUCCAGAUAUAGAUAAAAUAAUAUUUGAUUGGAAUAGGUGGGAUAAGAAGGAUAAUGGAUAAAAUAGUAUUUUGUUUGGUUGGAAUAGCAAGGUGUGGUGGGGUGGGGUAGGGUGGAGCCUCCCAUAUUGAGUGUUUAGAAAUAACUUCGGGCUUAAGGGGUUAUUCCACCCCUCCGAACCAAACGGAUGCUCAGUGUUUGGUUAGGGGAUAGGGAUAGGAAUAGGCCCUUAUCCCCCUCUUUAUACUCAAAUGCUAAUUUUUUAUCCGAGAAUAGUAGUUCUCAGUUAUCCCCACCAACACCUUCAUUUUUUAUAUAAAACUAUUUAAAGUUAUUCUUAUUCCCGGGAACAAUCUAAUUUUCAUCCAAACACUAUUUUUCUUAUCCCCAUACUUGUACUUAUCAUUAUAAUAGCUAGUUCUUACUUAUAUCCGAACCAAACGGAUGCUUAAAGAAUAAUCAGAAUGCCGACACGUCAACAGAGUACAUAAAAGACAGUAAAACUCACGGAUAAGUAGAUAGACAACAAUAUCCAAUGAAUUUAUCUUACUGUCCUCAUUGGAAUGGGGGGCAAUUUGGGGGUACACCAAGCAUUUUUCUUUUUCCUUAAAAUAGUUGGGAAGCUUUGGUUGUUGUUAAAGCAAUUAAUGAGCACAGCUACUGUUGUUUGCUUCUUUAUUAGAUUGAAGAUUGUUCCAAUCCUUGGUUGGCUUUGUCAGGCUUUUCUUACUUUUUGGCUAUCUAUUCUCUUCUUUGGAUUAAAAUUAUUAAAAAAUUUAAUAUUUUUAGAAUUAAAUUUGAUUUUAUCAAAGUUUGUGUAUUAUAUCUAGCUAGGAUUUAGACUUUUUUUUUAUUUUGAUAAUAUCAAAAUUAGGUUUAGAAAUUACCAAUUCCCAAUUAUCAGGCCAAAAAAAACAUACUUUGCAAUGGAUAGAUUGCAGUGGUACAAUUGAGUGACUUUGUUCAAGAGGUUAAAUUUUACAUAAAGUUCAAUUGACCAUGGCAUCCUCUGUAGUUGUUGUCGGAUCGUUGGCGCUAACUAUUAAUUUCAAAAAUUCGAGCUAUUAGAAAUACGCAACCAAUUCACUUAAAGCGUAUUAGAUACCGCGUCCACGGAUCUCGAUUGCGACUCGGCCCGUCCAGCCUCACGCCACUUCGAAUAUUACUCGGCUCGCCCAGCCUCAUGCCAUUUCGAAUAUGACUCGGCCCAACAUGACCUUCCGCCACAGGGCAAGUUGCUGGUCCAUUUAAGUCAACAAUUAUUUUCCACUUUAAACUCGUCUUAUUUUGUCAAUCACUUUUAUCUUCCCAAUAGAUCUCAAAUUAAAAUCUUACUAAUUUGCAAACUAAAAAUUAUUUCACAAAUUUUUUUUAAAAAAA
rnacentral:lncRNA from 1 species